rnacentral:rRNA from 1 species
GACGAACGCUGGCGGCGUGCUUAACACAUGCAAGUCGAACGGAAAGGCCCUGCUUUUGUGGGGUGCUCGAGUGGCGAACGGGUGAGUAACACGUGAGUAACCUGCCCUUGACUUUGGGAUAACUUCAGGAAACUGGGGCUCAUACCGGAUAGGAGCUCCUGCUGCAUGGUGGGUGUUGGAACGUUUCGGCGGUUGAGGAUGGACUCGCGGCUUAUCAGCUUGUUGGUUGGGUAGUGGCUUACCAAGGCUUUGACGGGUAGCCGGCCUGAGAGGGUGACCGGCCACAGUGGGACUGAGAUACGGCCCAGACUCCGACGGGAGGCAGCAGUGGGGAAUAUGGCACAAUGGGCGGAAGCCUGAUACAGCAACGCCGCGUGCGGGAUGACGGCCUUCGGGUUGUAAACCGCUUUCGCCUGUGACGAAGCGUGAGGGACGGUAAUGGGUAAAGAAGCACCGGCUAACUACGU